rnacentral:rRNA from 1 species
UACGAAGGGGGCUAGCGUUGUUCGGAAUUACUGGGCGUAAAGGGCGCGUAGGCUGUGCUGUAAGUCAGGCGUGAAAUCCCCGGGCCCAACCUGGGAAUUGCGUUUGAUACUGCGGCGCUGGAAUGCAGGAGAGGAUGGCGGAAUUCCCAGUGUAGAGGUGAAAUUCGUAGAUAUUGGGAAGAACACCGGUGGCGAAGGCGGCCAUCUGGCCUGUAAUUGACGCUGAGGCGCGAAAGCGUGGGGAGCAAACAGG